GACGAACGCUGGCGGCGUGCUUAACACAUGCAAGUCGAACGGAAAGCCCCUUUCGGGGGGACUCGAGUGGCGAACGGGUGAGUAACACGUGGGUGAUCUGCCCUGCACCUUGGGAUAAGCCUGGGAAACUGGGUCUAAUACCGGAUAGGACUACGCACUGCAUGGUGUGUGGUGGAAAGCUUUUGCGGUGUGGGAUGGGCCCGCGGCCUAUCAGCUUGUUGGUGGGGUGAUGGCCUACCAAGGCGACGACGGGUAGCCGGCCUGAGAGGGUGUCCGGCCACACUGGGACUGAGAUACGGCCCAGACUCCUACGGGAGGCAGCAGUGGGGAAUAUUGCACAAUGGGCGCAAGCCUGAUGCAGCGACGCCGCGUGAGGGAUGACGGCCUUCGGGUUGUAAACCUCUUUCAGCAUCGACGAAGCGCGAGUGACGGUAGAUGCAGAAGAAGCACCGGCCAACUACGUGCCAGCCGCCGCCGUAACAC
rnacentral:rRNA from 1 species